GUAGUCCAUGCCGUAAACGUUGGGCGCUAGGUGUGGGGCCCUAUCCACGGGUUCCGUGCCGCAGCUAACGCAUUAAGCGCCCCGCCUGGGGAGUACGGCCGCAAGGCUAAAACUCAAAGGAAUUGACGGGGGCCCGCACAAGCGGCGGAGCAUGCGGAUUAAUUCGAUGCAACGCGAAGAACCUUACCAAGGCUUGACAUACGCCGGAAACACUCAGAGAUGGGUGCCCCGCAAGGUCGGUGUACAGGUGGUGCAUGGUUGUCGUCAGCUCGUGUCGUGAGAUGUUGGGUUAAGUCCCGCAACGAGCGCAACCCUCGUUCUAUGUUGCCAGCGGGUAGUGCCGGGGACUCAUAGGAGACUGCCGGGGUCAACUCGGA
rnacentral:rRNA from 1 species